rnacentral:rRNA from 1 species
AUCCUGGGGCUGUAGUCGGUCCCAAGGGUAUGGCUGUUCGCCAUUUAAAGUGGUACGUGAGCUGGGUUUAAAACGUCGUGAGACAGUUUGGUCCCUAUCUGCCGUGGGCGCUGGAAGUUUGAAGGGAUCUGCUCCUAGUACGAGAGGACCGGAGUGGACAUACCUCUGGUGUACCGGUUGUCACGCCAGUGGCAUAGCCGGGUAGCUAAGUAUGGAAGAGAUAAACGCUGAAAGCAUCUAAGUGUGAAACUCGCCUUAAGAUAAGACUUCCCUGGGGUUAAACCCCGCUGAAGGGUCGUUGGAGACUACAACGUUGAUAGGUCGGGUGUGUAAGCAUAGUAAUAUGUUGAGCUAACCGAUACUAAUUGCCCGUGAGGCUUGACUCU